rnacentral:rRNA from 1 species
UACAGAGGUCUCGAGCGUUAGGCGGAAUCACUGGGCUUAAAGCGUGUGUAGGCGGAUCGUUAAGUGCCUUGUGAAAUCCCACGGCUCAACCGUGGAACUGCUUGGCAUACUGGCGGUCUUGAGCAACCUAGGGGCGAGCGGAACAAAUGGUGGAGCGGUGAAAUGCGUAGAUAUCAUUUGGAACGCCAAUGGUGAAAACAGCUCGCUGGGGGUUUGCUGACGCUGAGGAGCGAAAGCGUGGGGAGCAAACAGG